CGGCCCACGGAGCUCCUAAAGGCUCGCCCUGCCGGGUUUAUGACGCUCCGUGGGCCUG
ensembl:miRNA Mir7655 microRNA 7655